rnacentral:rRNA from 1 species
UACCAGCACCCCGAGUGGUCGGGACGAUUAUUGGGCCUAAAGCAUCCGUAGCCGGUUCUGCAAGUCUUCCGUUAAAUCCACCUGCUCAACAGAUGGGCUGCGGAGGAUACUACAGGGCUAGGAGGCGGGAGAGGCAAGCGGUACUCAGUGGGUAGGGGUAAAAUCCGUUGAUCCAUUGAAGACCACCAGUGGCGAAGGCGGCUUGCCAGAACGCGCUCGGCGGUGAGGGAUGAAAGCUGGGGGAGCAAACCGG